rnacentral:rRNA from 1 species
GAUGAACGCUGGCGGCAUGCCUAACACAUGCAAGUCGAACGAAGGCUUCGGCCUUAGUGGCGCACGGGUGCGUAACGCGUGGGAAUCUGCCCUCAGGUUCGGAAUAACAGCGAGAAAUUGCUGCUAAUACCGGAUGAUAUCGCGAGAUCAAAGAUUUAUCGCCUGAGGAUGAGCCCGCGUAGGAUUAGCUAGUUGGUGUGGUAAAGGCGCACCAAGGCGACGAUCCUUAGCUGGUCUGAGAGGAUGAUCAGCCACACUGGGACUGAGACACGGCCCAGACUCCUACGGGAGGCAGCAGUGGGGAAUAUUGGACAGUGGGCGAAAGCCUGAUCCAGCAAUGCCGCGUGAGUGAUGAAGGCCUUAGGGUUGUAAAGCUCUUUUACCCGGGAUGAUAAUGACGGUACCGGGAGAAUAAGCUCCGGCUAACUCCGUGCCAGCCGCCGCCGUAA